rnacentral:rRNA from 1 species
UACGUAGGUGGCUAGCGUUGUCCGGAUUUACUGGGCGUAAAGGGCGCGUAGGCGGUCGUGACAAGUCACUUGUGAAAUCUCCGGGCUUAACUCGGAACGGUCAAGUGAUACUGUCGGACUAGAGUACAGAAGGGGCAACUGGAAUUCUCGGUGUAGCGGUGAAAUGCGUAGAUAUCGAGAGGAACACCUGCGGCGAAGGCGGGUUGCUGGGCUGAUACUGACGCUGAGGCGCGAAAGCCAGGGGAGCGAACGGG